GACAGAGGGUGCAAACGUUGUUCGGAAUUACUGGGCGUAAAGCGCGUGUAGGCUGCUUCGCAAGUCGGAUGUGAAAGCCCUGGGCUCAACCCAGGAAGUGCAUUCGAAACUGCAGAGCUGGAGUCCUGGAGAGGAAGGUGGAAUGCUUGGUGUAGAGGUGAAAUUCGUAGAUAUCAAGCGGAACACCGGUGGCGAAGGCGGCCUUCUGGACAGUGACUGACGCUGAGAUGCGAAAGCGUGGGGAGCAAACAGG
rnacentral:rRNA from 1 species